rnacentral:rRNA from 1 species
GAUGAACGCUGGCGGCGUGCCUAAUACAUGCAAGUCGAGCGAACGGAUGAGAAGCUUGCUUCUCUGAUGUUAGCGGCGGACGGGUGAGUAACACGUGGAUAACCUACCUAUAAGACUGGGAUAACUUCGGGAAACCGGAGCUAAUACCGGAUAAUGUUUUGAACCGCAUGGUUCAAAAGUGAAAGACGGUCUUGCUGUCACUUAUAGAUGGAUCCGCGCUGCAUUAGCUAGUUGGUAAGGUAACGGCUUACCAAGGCAACGAUGCAUAGCCGACCUGAGAGGGUGAUCGGCCACACUGGAACUGAGACACGGUCCAGACUCCUACGGGAGGCAGCAGUAGGGAAUCUUCCGCAAAGGGCGAAAGCCUGACGGAGCAACGCCGCGUGAGUGAUGAAGGUCUUCGGAUCGUAAAACUCUGUUAUUAGGGAAGAACAUAUGUGUAAGUAACUGUGCACAUCUUGACGGUACCUAAUCAGAAAGCCACGGCUAACUACGUG